rnacentral:rRNA from 1 species
GAUGAACGCUGGCGGCGUGCCUAAUACAUGCAAGUCGAGCGAACGGACGAGAAGCUUGCUUCUCUGAUGUUAGCGGCGGACGGGUGAGUAACACGUGGAUAACCUACCUAUAAGGCUGGGAUAACUUCGGGAAACCGGAGCUAAUACCGGAUAAUAUUUUGAACCGCAUGGUUCAAAAGUGAAAGACGGUCUUGCUGUCACUUAUAGAUGGAUCCGCGCUGCAUUAGCUAGUUGGUAAGGUAACGGCUUACCAAGGCAACGAUGCAUAGCCGUCCUGAGAGGGUGAUCGGCCACACUGGAACUGAGACACGGUCCAGACUCCUACGGGAGGCAGCAGUAGGGAAUCUUCCGCAAUGGGCGAAAGCCUGACGGAGCAACGCCGCGUGAGUGAUGAAGGUCUUCGGAUCGUAAAACUCUGUUAUUAGGGAAGAACAUAUGUGUAAGUAACUGUGCACAUCUUGACGGUACCUAAUCAGAAAGCCACGGCUAACUACGUG